rnacentral:sRNA from 1 species
AUUCUGCCCAAGCGGGGAAGGAUGAGAAGCUUCGACCAAGGUUCGACUCGAGCGCCAGCGAGAGAGCGUUGCCGCAGGCAAC